ACUUAAGAAGACACAUUGGCAGAGAUUACUCUAAAUUCACAAAGAAAACUCUGAGGUAAUGCCAAAUAAACUGUUAUGUAAUCAUUUAUUAAGCAUGUGGGAUUACUCAAACAUACCAGUUACCUAAUCUUUCAAGUGGAAAAAAUAUUUCAUUGGUGGUGAAGUAGGGAAUGGGGAUCAGGGAUGAGCAAACCAGAUAAAAUAUUUUAAAAAUUCUAUUCAUGUACUCCAAAAAUCUGGGGCUGUUCUAAUCUUAAAACUUGCCUCAGUGGCUGCUGGUUUAGUUGCAUGAUUAUAAUGUAUUUUCCUUUCUGUUGCAUAUUUUUUUUUAAAUCAGAGUGUGACAGCAUUUUUCUUUGGGUCUUUGCAUGUGCAUAAGCAGAAAAAUCCCAAGCCCUCCACAUUUGAAGUAGAUAUUGGAAUAACCAUUUUAUUUCUGCAUCCAAACCAUCUCUGGUGUCUUAAUGCUACCUGGUAGGCAGGGUACUAUAGUGGUGAAGGGUUUGUAUUAAGACAGACUUUAUUUUGAAGCCCAGCUCUGACAUUUACUAGCUACUUAAAUUUGUGCAAAUUAUUUAAUCUAAGUUUCAUUUGCUUUGGCUGAAAUAUUGUGAUAUCUUGCUCAUAUAAACCAUUUCACAUAGCGUGCAACACUUAAUAAGUGUUCAAUAAAUACUAGUUAGUAUUAUGAGAAUUCUUUUCAACAUGAUUUUCCUCAAAGGAAAAACAUUUUGGUGAUGAAGGUCUGGGAAUGGGGUGAGUACAGCCAUGGGACUUUUGGAAGUCCCUCUAAAUGGCUUCAUCACCGUCAUGAAAAAGUAGUCCAGUUUGAAACUAGGUGAGAGCCCACAUACCAUCACUUCUGUAGAAAGGAGACAGGGCCAGAAGAUGCCACCCUCAGGAAGUCAGAGAGCAGUCUACACUGGGAAAUGCAAACUAAGUGGCUCAACUGUGCCCUCUGGAAACUGUAUUUUAGAAAAAUAUCACUAUGGACUGAUACACAUAUUGCCACUGCAAAGUAGGAUGAAUAUUUGAAGGUGUUCUUGUUACUACUAACAAGAAGUCCAUGAAAGUUUCACUGUGCACCCAUCCUCCAAUAUCUACUCACUUACAAGUUACAGAACCCAUAUAUGAGAAAGCAAAUCCUCCUCUGUGCAUUUUAUAUCCCCCCCAUUGCCCUCUUAAUACCUGCACCUGAAAACUAGUAUUCAUUGCUGUAACGGGAGACAGAAGGAGGGAAUGGCAGAAACUAUAAAACAAAAUUGCAUUGGAUAAUUUCUCCGAGUUGUAAGAAGAAUGAAGGUUAUUACCAUAAUAUUCAGAGAAAAAGUAAAGCAAUGCUUUGAAGUAGUAACUGAAGACUGAGAAGCAAUGCCAUAAUUCUCUGAAACCUGUUGUUUCUUCUAGUUGUCUGUUCAACAUCAUG
rnacentral:lncRNA from 1 species